GGCGGGAGCUCCCGCGCGCUUACCUUGGGGUUGGUCAGGAGCUGGUGCUGGUCGCUGUGUAGCAGCGCCCUGGAGUUGGACUCGGAGUUGUUCACGUACACCUGGACGCAGGGAUACUGCGAGGUGCCCCUGCAGUCGGUGCCACAGGUGAAGGUGCACUCGAACACCUCGCCGAUCUGCUGCACCGACAGCACGGUGCAGUUGGCCGCCGUGGCUUGCAGAUCCUGCAAGGCGGGACUGAGCCAGCAGAAGCCGAAGAUGAAGAGCGACAGGAUGCCGGAGACGAUGAGGAACAAGCCGAGCCGGAUGCUCUUGUCUUCGGCUUCCGUGUACUCGUAAGACACCCUGAGCUUCGCCAUCGCCCCCCACUCUCCACGGCUGGCGCGCUCCCCGCCCCCUCCCGCCCCCGGCGCCGAGCUCAACCGCCUCGGGCGGGAGGAGCCGCCGCCGCCGCCGCGCGACAGCAGGGGAGUGGGCGGCGAGGGGGCGCGCGCGAGAACAAAGGGGCCGAGGCCGGCGACGCCCCCGGCGGCGGCGACGGCGCUGCCCGAGGCCGGGCUCCCGGGUGCCACCGCCGCCUCACAGCGUCCGGCACCCCGGGGCUCCCCGAGCCCGCCCCCGCCCCCGCGCGCUCCGCGCCCCGCGCCCGCCUCCCCGCGCGCGCCGCCCGCCUGCCAUCGCCGCGGCCGAGCGCCCGGCGCCCCGACGCUGGGAGCGACUGGGCUGCUGAGCCCUGGCUCCGCGUUGAGCGAGGCUGCUCCUCCCCGCCCUGGGCGCCGCCGCCCCGCCCCGCCCCGCGCCGCGCCCCGCAGCUCCCGUGGGCGAGCACCCGGGCCGCCGCGAGCUGCUCUCGGAAUCCUCGCCAGAUGCAACCUGGAGAGAUGGCGGAGACGGUCGAGGCGAACGCUUAGCACCGAGGGAGCGUGGCUGGGGAGAAAGUUAAAAGAGAGAAAAAAAAAAUUUUUUUAAGUGGGGGAGGAUGGCGUGAGCGUGCGAAGCGGGAAUCUUCAAACUCCGAUCCGGGGAGCUGCGGGGCAGCAGGCGCACCGGCAAAGGGAGCUCCGGUGGCGGCGAGCGACAGAGGGCACCGGCGCGGACGCGGGGGGAUGCCCACAGGCGAGCGGCCGGGAGCCGGAGGUCCCCGCGGAUCCCACGCCGCCACCGGGACCGUGCAGGCUAACACGAUUGGAGCCUUGAGCGUCGGUGGACUUUCCUGGAAAAAUAGGAAUAUUGCCACCCUUAGCUGGCCCUGAGAUUUGCAGGUGAGCUUUUUCUGGAGCUCUGUGCAAGGCGACCGCGGCUUGCAGACACUUUGGAACUCCACCCUAUCGAUGUACACCUUUAUUCAGCCUCUAUUCUCCUGACUUUUCCUUUUCCUAGAUGAAUGAACUCAGGCUCCUGAUGAAUAACAGUUGCCAAGUCAUGGAAAUGUUAAGCCCACUCUACCAGACUUCAAACCCUUUGGCUGGCACUGACAGAGUUCUGGCAUGUUAUGCUGAUGGGUAUUUCCAAACAAUGGUAAAGGAGACCUUUAGUGUCUGUUUUUCUUAAUGAAUAAAAAGGCUGCAGGACUUGGAAAAACUUUAAAAUCACAAAAAAAAAAAAAAAAAAAAAA
rnacentral:lncRNA from 1 species